AGUGAACGCUGGCGGUAGGCCUAACACAUGCAAGUCGAACGGCAGCACAGUAAGAGCUUGCUCUUACGGGUGGCGAGUGGCGGACGUGUGAGGAAUACAUCGGAAUCUACUUUUUCGUGGGGGAUAACGUAGGGAAACUUACGCUAAUACCGCAUACGACCUACGGGUGAAAGCAGUGGAUCUUCUGACCUUGCGCGAUUGAAUGAGCCGAUGUCGGAUUAGCUAGUUGGCGGGGUAAAGGCCCACCAAGGCGACGAUCCGUAGCUGGUCUGAGAGGAUGAUCAGCCACACUGGAACUGAGACACGGUCCAGACUCCUACGGGAGGCAGCAGUGGGGAAUAUUGGACAAUGGGCGCAAGCCUGAUCCAGCCAUACCGCGUGGGUGAAGAGGGCCUUCGGGUUGUAAAGCCCUUUUGUUGGGAAAGAAAAGCAGCAGGUUAAUACCCCGCUGUUCUGACGGUACCCAAAGAAUAAGCACCGGCUAACUUCGUG
rnacentral:rRNA from 1 species